rnacentral:sRNA from 1 species
GACUGUAGUUUGAUGCAGAGAAAUCCUUAGGUCGCUGGUUCGAAUCCGGCAGGUCGGA